AAUAUUUGGCAAUGGAGGGAACUCUGACGCAGCGACGCCGCGAGAGCGAUGAAGGUCUUCGGAUCGUAAAGAUCUGUCCUUGGAGAAGAAGGUCCUCGGACUUGACCGUACCUCAGGAGGAAACCCCGGCUAACUACGUGCCAGCAGCCGCGGUAAUACGUAGGGGGCAAGCGUUGUCCGGAAUUAUUGGGCGUAAAGGGUGCGUAGGCGGCCUUUUAAGUCAGAUGUGAAAGCCCACGGCUUAACCGUGGAGCUUCAUUUGAAACUGGAGGGCUUGAGUAUCGGAGAGGGUAGUGGAAUUCCCAGUGUAGCGGUGGAAUGCGUAGAUAUUGGGAGGAACACCAGUGGCGAAGGCGACUACCUGGACGAAAACUGACGCUGAGGCACGAAAGCUAGGGGAGCAAAC
rnacentral:rRNA from 1 species